GAUGAACGCUGGCGGCGUGCCUAAUACAUGCAAGUCGAGCGAACGGACGAGAAGCUUGCUCCUCUGAUGUUAGCGGCGGACGGGUGAGUAACACGUGGAUAACCUACCUAUAAGACUGGGAUAACUUCGGGAAACCGGAGCUAAUACCGGAUAAUAUAUUGAACGGCAUGGUUCAAAAGUGAAAGACGGUCUUGCUGUCACUUAUAGAUGGAUCCGCGCUGCAUUAGCUAGUUGGUGAGGUAACGGCUUACCAAGGCAACGAUGCAUAGCCGACCUGAGAGGGUGGUCGGCCACACUGGAAGUGAGACUCGGUCCAGACUCCGACAGGAGGCAGCAGUAGGGAAUCUUCCGCAAUGGGCGAGAGGCUGACGGAGCAACGCCGCGGGAGUGAUGAAGGUCUUCGGAUCGGAAAACUCUGUUAGUAGGGAAGAACAAAUGUGUAAGUAACUGUGCACAUCUUGACGGUACCUAAUCAGAAAGCCACGGCUAACUACGUG
rnacentral:rRNA from 1 species